AUACUUACCUGGCGCAGAGGUUUUUCCGUGAUCAAUAAGGCGGAUCCUCCGAGGUGAGGUCUUGUCAUUGCACUUAGAUGAGAUUGACCCUCGCGAUUAUUCCUAAUGCGAAUAACUCGUGCGUGCAAUUUUUGGUAGCCGGGAAUGGCGUUCGCGCCGUCCCGAA